rnacentral:tRNA from 1 species
AUUUAAAUAAUUUAAUAAGAAUAGUAAUUUGUGGAAUUACAAGUGCUUACAAAGCUUUAAAUC